GAUGAAGAACGUAGCGAAAUGCGAUAAGUAGUGUGAAUUGCAGAAUUCCGUGAAUCAUCGAAUCUUUGAACGCACAUUGCGCCCCCUGGCAUUCCGGGGGGCAUGCCUGUCCGAGCGUCAUUUCUGCCCUCAAGCACGGCUUGUGUGUUGGGUGCGGUCCCCCCGGGGACCUGCCCGAAAGGCAGCGGCGACGUCCGUCUGGUCCUCGAGCGUAUGGGGCUCUGUCACUCGCUCGGGAAGGACCUGCGGGGGUUGGUCACCACUAUAUUUUACCACGGUUGACCUCGGAUCAGGUAGGAGUUACCCGCUGAACUUAAGCAUAUCAAUAAGCGGAGGA
rnacentral:misc_RNA from 1 species